rnacentral:ncRNA from 1 species
GAUUAGGUGUCGUAAGACUUAAUAGAAAAGCUGGUUAAAGGCCAGCGCGGUCACGCCACUGUAACGGGGAGCAAAUCUGCACGAAAUGUCACUGGGGAAACCUGGGAAGGCGCGGAGGAGCAAUGAGCCGGAGCCAGGAGAACUGCCUGAUUGA